CCCAACUAUCCCUAUUAAUCAUUACGGUGAUCCUAGAAACCAACAAAAUAGAACCAACGUCCUAUUCUAUUAUUCCAUGCUAAUCUAUUCAAGCAAAUGCCUGCUUUAAACACUCUAAUUUUUUCAAGGUAAUGGUCCUGGCUCCCCGGUACACUCAAUAAAGAACAUGCCGGUUCACCAGAAGGUAAGACCCGACACAGAACAGUACUCGCCAAAGACGGACCGCCCGGCCAGGCCUAAAAUUCAACUACGAGCUUUUUAACUGCAACAACUUUAAUAUACGCUAUUGGAGCUGGAAUUACCGCGGCUGCUGGCACCAGACUUGCCCUCCAA
rnacentral:misc_RNA from 2 species